UUUAUGAGAUUUUUAUUUUCAGCCGUUCAUUUUGAGGCUACUCGUUCACUAGACAAACGAAGUCAAAAAAUUAUGAAAUUUGGUUUCUAGAUAGUUCCAAUAGCGUAGAUCAUGUCUAAUGGAAUCGAUCGCCGAAUAGGACGUCCCAUCAUCGAAAAUAACUUACAAGUACGGAGGCUCCCGUACUUUCGAAAGCAUAGGAGCCUAGCUCUCUCUCUCUUUCUCUCUCUCUCUCUCUCUCUCUCUCUCUACAUAUAUAUAUAUAGAGUAGGGCUACUAUACUCUUAUGAGUAUAGAGCCUUUCAUACUUAUAAUUUGUUUCCGAUGUUGGGCUUUUCGAAUCGACGAUCCAUACCGUUAAACAUAAUCUAAAGUAUUUGAAACUUAUAGAAAAUAAAUUUUGUAAUUUUUCGAAAUCAUAAUAAAGUCUAUCAAGCAGGUAUAAAAUGAACGGUUAAAAUCAAACGGCAUCCUAAAAAUGGAUGAUCAGAUCCUUCAAUUUAAGAUCGGAGUUAUUGAUCUUUAUUUAGGUAGUGUAUAGAAUUUUCUAUCAAAAAUUCAACUUAUUCCGAUUCUUUUUCACCGUUAAACUAGCAAAUAUCUCAUACCAGCCGUACAAAAUUGUCAAUUUUGUGAGCUUUUGAUCAUAAGGUAAAUGAUGUCGAAAAAUUAUGAAAUUUAAUUUCUAGAAAUUUUAAAUGCUCUACAUAAUGCUUAACGUCAUGAAUCGUCGAUUCGGAAGCUCUAUUAUCGAAAACAACUUAUAAGUACGAAGAGCUCUAUACUUAUAAGAGUAUAGUAGCCGGACU
rnacentral:lncRNA from 1 species